UACGUAGGGGGCAAGCGUUGUCCGGAAUCAUUGGGCGUAAAGCGCGUGUAGGCGGCUGAGUAAGUCUGCUCUGAAAGCCCGGGGCUCAACCCCGGGAGGCGGGUGGAUACUGCUCAGCUCGAGUCCGGAAGAGGAGUGUGGAAUUCCUGGUGUAGCGGUGAAAUGCGCAGAUAUCAGGAGGAACACCGGUGGCGAAGGCGGGUCUCUGGGCCGUUACUGACGCUGAGGAGCGAAAGCGUGGGGAGCGAACAGG
rnacentral:rRNA from 1 species